UACAGAGGGUGCAAGCGUUGUUCGGAAUUACUGGGCGUAAAGCGCGUGUAGGCUGCGGAGUAAGUCGGAUGUGAAAUCCCUUGGCUUAACCAAGGAAGUGCAUCCGAUACUGUUUCGCUUGAGUGUCGGAGGGGAUGGCGGAAUUCCCGGUGUAGAGGUGAAAUUCGUAGAUAUCGGGAGGAACACCUGUGGCGAAGGCGGCCAUCUGGACGACAACUGACGCUGAGACGCGAAAGCGUGGGUAGCAAACGGG
rnacentral:rRNA from 1 species